rnacentral:misc_RNA from 1 species
AAGUCGUAACAAGGUUUCCGUAGGUGAACCUGCGGAAGGAUCAUUAUUGAAUGUUGCUUGAUGGGUUGUAGCUGGCCCUUCGGGGCAUGUGCACGCCUGUCUUGACUACUAUUCAUCCACCUGUGCACACUUUGUAGUCUUUCGGGGUCUGGGAAGCGGCUGACAUUGUCAGUCGUGCUGAACCUCCCUCGGGGACUAUGUCUUUAUUCAUACACCAUGUAGUAUGUUGCAGAAUGUAAUCAAUGGGCCUUUGUGCCUAUAAAACCUUAUACAA